rnacentral:rRNA from 1 species
AUUGAACGCUGGCGGCAGGCCUAACACAUGCAAGUCGAGCGAGCGGCGGACGGGUGAGUAAUGUAUGGGGACUGCCCGAUAGAGGGGGAUAACUACUGGGAACGGUGGCUAAUACCGCAUAGUAACGGAUGAGCAAUAUGGGAUUAUCUCGUAGGUGGGGUAAAGGCUCACCGAGGCGACGAUCUCUAGCUGGUCUGAGAGGCGGAUCAGCCACACUGUGACUGAGACACGGCCCAGACUCCUACGGAGGCAGCAGGGGUGAAUAUUGCACAAUGGGCGCAAGCCUGAUGCAGCCAUGCCGCGUGUAUGAAGAAGGCCUUAGGGUUGUAAAGUACUUUCAGCGGGGAGGCGUUACCCGCAGAAGAAGCACCGGCUAACUCCGUGCCAGCAGCCGCGGUAAUAC